GAUGAACGCUAGCUACAGGCUUAACACAUGCAAGUCGAGGGGAAACGACAUCGAAAGCUUGCUUUUGAUGGGCGUCGACCGGCGCACGGGUGAGUAACGCGUAUCCAACCUGCCCACCACUUGGGGAUAACCUUGCGAAAGUAAGACUAAUACCCAAUGAUAUCUCUAGAAGACAUCUGAAAGAGAUUAAAGAUUUAUCGGUGAUGGAUGGGGAUGCGUCUGAUUAGCUUGUUGGCGGGGUAACGGCCCACCAAGGCAACGAUCAGUAGGGGUUCUGAGAGGAAGGUCCCCCACAUUGGAACUGAGACACGGUCCAAACUCCUACGGGAGGCAGCAGUGAGGAAUAUUGGUCAAUGGACGAGAGUCUGAACCAGCCAAGUAGCGUGCAGGAAGACGGCCCUAUGGGUUGUAAACUGCUUUUAGAAGGGAAUAAAGUGAGUCUCGUGAGACUUUUUGCAUGUACCUUAUGAAUAAGGACCGGCUAAUUCCGUG
rnacentral:rRNA from 1 species